rnacentral:rRNA from 1 species
GACGAACGCUGGCGGCGUGCCUAACACAUGCAAGUCGAACGGAAGUAAGUGCUUCGGUAUUUACUUUAGUGGCGAACGGGUGAGUAACGCGUGAGGAACCUGCCUUUCAGUGGGGGACAACAGUUGGAAACGACUGCUAAUACCGCAUGACGCUUCUUAGGGGCAUCCCUGAGAAGUCAAAACUUUAUGUGCUGAAAGAUGGCCUCGCGUCUGAUUAGCCAGUUGGCGGGGUAACGGCCCACCAAAGCGACGAUCAGUAGCCGGCCUGAGAGGGUGAACGGCCACAUUGGGACUGAGACACGGCCCAA